GCAACUCACAGGUCGACAUACAGGUUGCUGUAGAUUCAGAGGUCUUGGUUGUUAAGACAGUGGCCUGCCACAACAACAGACUGCGCAUCAUGCAGAAUGAAAGUUGGUUACUUGAUAUGAUAAAUUUUGAAGGAGUUCUCACAUAUGCUGAGCACUUGUUGGCUGAUUUUCCUUCACUCUGCGGUCCAACUCAUCCCAAACCAUCUCAAUUGGAUUGAGGUCAGAUGAUUUUUUUGACUGGUGCUGUAUGUUUGUCAAAUUUUCUUCUGUUGGGAAGACAAUAGGAUGUUAUGCAGAAAAAUAUGUCGAUAGGAACAUGUUUUGUACUGUAUGUUUGUCCACAUGGAAAUCAGUGAUUUGUGUUUACUAUAGGUUGAGGCAAAUGUGAUGUGACUACAAUGAAAGGGCAUUUAGUUGACAAAAAUGGCCCAGUGUUUUUGUACAUUUUGACAAUAAUUAGACUAAAUAGAUAUUCAAAUGACAAAAAUGUGACUAAGACUUAAUGAUAUUUUAGUCAAAAUUACUUAGACUAGACCAAAUCUAAAAAAGAGUGCCAAAAUGAACACUGUAUGGAUGAUUUUCUCUUUAUCUUUUGGAAAGAGUUUCUUGCGAAGAAGGUAUAAUGCUGAAUAAAUGCACCUUUAUAUUUGUCAUAUUUUGACAAAUAGUGCUGAUAUAAAUGAUAUUGUUUACAUUAAUGUAUAUUAUUUUGAUGUAUAUGUAAUUUCUAUUCAAAAUGAGAAAAAAAACGAUGCAACACUUUUACUGUGCAAUAUGCCUCCUGUUUGUUUGUAAUGCGGAUAGACCACUCAAGGAAGAAGCUGCAGCAAAUCUAAAAACAAAAUACAUUCACUCCAUAUAGGAGUGAAACACUGCCAAGAUCCCCUUUUUUUAUUUUUAUUGAACCUUUAUUUAACUAGUCAAGUCAGUUAAGAACAAAUUCUUAUUUACAAUGACGGCCUACCGGGGAACAGUGGGUUAACUGCCUUGUUCAGGGGCAGAACAACAGAUUUUUACUUCAUCAGCUUGUGACAGAUUUUUACCUUGUCAGGUAACCUUUCGGUUACUGGCCCAACACUCUAAACACCAACGCCGCCCCUUUGUCGCAGUAUCUUAAAUUAGUUGUUCCCAAGGUAGGCUGUGUGUGCUACCAAAUUAAAUUCCCUCGAUUCAGAGCCGCCUCUUCUUAUACGCAGACUAAAACUCACUAGAACAUUUUGCCUGUGAGGUGGGGGGCCCCUCGACCAAAUCUCUCUUAGGGCGCACAAAAGUUUGCUGUCUACUAUAAACCCACAUACGACAUGGACCGCAUACACUUACUUAUCAUUCUAA
rnacentral:lncRNA from 1 species